rnacentral:rRNA from 1 species
GGGUUGUGAGGUUAAGCGACUAAGCGUACACGGUGGAUGCCCCGGCAGUCAGAGGCGAUGAAGGACGUGCUAAUCUGCGAAAAGCGUCGGUAAGGUGAUAUGAACCGUUAUAGCCGGCGAUGUCCGAAUGGGGAAACCCAGUGCAAUUCGUUGCACUAUCGUUAACUGAAUACAUAGGUUAACGAGGCGAACCGGGGGAACUGAAACAUCUAAGUACCCCGAGGAAAAGAAAUCAACCGAGAUUCCCCCAGUAGCGGCGAGCGAACGGGGAGCAGCCCAGAGUCUGAAUCAGCUUGUGUGUUAGUGGAACGGUCUGGAAAGUCCGACGGUACAGGGUGAUAGUCCCGUACACCAAAAUGCACAGGCUGUGAACUCGAAGAGUAGGGCGGGACACGUGGUAUCCUGUCUGAAUAUGGGGGGACCAUCCUCCAAGGCUAAAUACUCCUGACUGACCGAUAGUGAACCAGUACCGUGAGGGAAAGGCGAAAAGAACCCCGGCGAGGGGAGUGAAAAAGAACCUGAAACCGUGUACGUACAAGCAGUGGGAGCACCUUCGGGUGUGACUGCGUACCUUUUGUAUAAUGGGUCAGCGACUUAUAUUCUGUAGCAAGGUUAACCGUAUAGGGGAGCCGCAGGGAAACCGAGUCUUAACUGGGCGUUAAGUUGCAGGGUAUAGACCCGAAACCCGGUGAUCUAGCCAUGGGCAGGUUGAAGGUUGGGUAACACUAACUGGAGGACCGAACCGACUAAUGUUGAAAAAUUAGCGGAUGACUUGUGGCUGGGGGUGAAAGGCCAAUCAAACCGGGAGAUAGCUGGUUCUCCCCGAAAGCUAUUUAGGUAGCGCCUCGUGAAUUCAUCUUCGGGGGUAGAGCACUGUUUCGGCUAGGGGGUCAUCCCGACUUACCAACCCGAUGCAAACUACGAAUACCGAAGAAUGUUAUCACGGGAGACACACGGCGGGUGCUAACGUCCGUCGUGAAGAGGGAAACAACCCAGACCGCCAGCUAAGGUCCCAAAGUCAUGGUUAAGUGGGAAACGAUGUGGGAAGGCACAGACAGCCGGGAUGUUGGCUUAGAAGCAGCCAUCAUUUAAAGAAAGCGUAAUAGCUCACUGGUCGAGUCGGCCUGCGCGGAAGAUGUAACGGGGCUAAACCAUGCACCGAAGCUGCGGCAGCGACACUAUGUGUUGUUGGGUAGGGGAGCGUUCUGUAAGCCUGCGAAGGUGUGCUGUGAGGCAUGCUGGAGGUAUCAGAAGUGCGAAUGCUGACAUAAGUAACGAUAAAGCGGGUGAAAAGCCCGCUCGCCGGAAGACCAAGGGUUCCUGUCCAACGUUAAUCGGGGCAGGGUGAGUCGACCCCUAAGGCGAGGCCGAAAGGCGUAGUCGAUGGGAAACAGGUUAAUAUUCCUGUACUUGGUGUUACUGCGAAGGGGGGACGGAGAAGGCUAUGUUAGCCGGGCGACGGUUGUCCCGGUUUAAGCAUGUAGGCUGAUUGUCCGGCAAAUCCGGAUAAUCAAGGCUGAGGUGUGAUGACGAGGCACUACGGUGCUGAAGUAACAAAUGCCCUGCUUCCGGGAAAAGCCUCUAAGCAUCAGGUAACAUUAAAUCGUACCCCAAACCGACACAGGUGGUCAGGUAGAGAAUACCAAGGCGCUUGAGAGAACUCGGGUGAAGGAACUAGGCAAAAUGGUGCCGUAACUUCGGGAGAAGGCACGCUGGUGUGUAGGUGAAGCCCCUGCGGGUGGAGCUGAGACCAGUCGAAGAUACCAGCUGGCUGCAACUGUUUAUUAAAAACACAGCACUGUGCAAACACGAAAGUGGACGUAUACGGUGUGACGCCUGCCCGGUGCCGGAAGGUUAAUUGAUGGGGUUAUCCGUAAGGAGAAGCUCUUGAUCGAAGCCCCGGUAAACGGCGGCCGUAACUAUAACGGUCCUAAGGUAGCGAAAUUCCUUGUCGGGUAAGUUCCGACCUGCACGAAUGGCGUAAUGAUGGCCGGCUGUCUCCACCCGAGACUCAGUGAAAUUGAACUCGCUGUGAAGAUGCAGUGUACCCGCGGCAAGACGGAAAGACCCCGUGAACCUUUACUAUAGCUUGACACUGAACAUUGAGCCUUGAUGUGUAGGAUAGGUGGGAGGCUUUGAAGCGUGGACGCCAGUCUGCGUGGAGCCAACCUUGAAAUACCACCCUUUAAUGUUUGAUGUUCUAACGUUGGCCCCUGACCGGGGUUGCGGACAGUGUCUGGUGGGUAGUUUGACUGGGGCGGUCUCCUCCCAAAGCGUAACGGAGGAGCACGAAGGUUAGCUAAUCUCGGUCGGACAUCAGGAGGUUAGUGCAAUGGCAUAAGCUAGCUUGACUGCGAGCGUGACGGCGCGAGCAGGUGCGAAAGCAGGUCAUAGUGAUCCGGUGGUUCUGAAUGGAAGGGCCAUCGCUCAACGGAUAAAAGGUACUCCGGGGAUAACAGGCUGAUACCGCCCAAGAGUUCAUAUCGACGGCGGUGUUUGGCACCUCGAUGUCGGCUCAUCACAUCCUCGGGGCUGAAGUAGGUCCCAAGGGUAUGGCUGUUCGCCAUUUAAAGUGGUACGCGAGCUGGGUUUAGAACGUCGUGAGACAGUUCGGUCCCUAUCUGCCGUGGGCGCUGGAGAAUUGAGGGGGGCUGCUCCUAGUACGAGAGGACCGGAGUGGACGCAUCACUGGUGUUCGGGUUGUCAUGCCAAUGGCACUGCCCGGUAGCUAAAUGCGGAAGAGAUAAGUGCUGAAAGCAUCUAAGCACGAAACUUGCCCCGAGAUGAGUUCUCCCUGAGACUUUAAGUCUCCUGAAGGAACGUUAAAGACGAUGACGUUGAUAGGCCGGGUGUGUAAGCGCAGCGAUGCGUUGAGCUAACCGGUACUAAUGAACCGUGAGGCUUAACCUUACAACGCCGAAG